GGACUACCGGGGUUUCUAAUCCUGUUUGCUCCCCACGCUUUCGCGUCUCAGCGUCAAUAUCGGUCCAGGUAGCCGCCUUCGCCACCGGUGUUCCUCCUAAUAUCUACGGAUUUCACUCCUGCACUAGGAAUUCCACUACCCUCUCCCGUAUUCAAGUCUCCCAGUAUCCAAUGCACUUCCCGGGUUGAGCCCGGGGCUUUCACAUCUGACUUAACAGACCGCCUACACGCGCUUUACGCCCAAUAAAUCCGAACAACGCUUGCACCCUCCGUAUUACCGCGGCUGCUGGCAC
rnacentral:rRNA from 1 species